UCUCAUGUUUUCUUUGUAUGUCAUAUCAAACCGAAACAUAAGUCUCAUGAGCCAAUUCAGACAAUUACCUACUUUUCAGCCGAUCCGAAUUUUCUCGCGUGAAAGUGAAGAGA